rnacentral:rRNA from 1 species
GAUCCUGGCUCAGGAUGAACGCUAGCUACAGGCUUAACACAUGCAAGUCGAGGGGAAACGAUAUUGGAAGCUUGCUUCCGAUAGGCGUCGACCGGCGCACGGGUGAGUAACGCGUAUCCAACCUGCCCAUCACUUGGGGAUAACCUUGCGAAAGUAAGACUAAUACCCAAUGGUACCUCUAGAAGACAUCUGAAAGGGAUUAAAGAUUUAUCGGCGAUGGAUGGGGAUGCGUCUGAUUAG